UGCGUAGGUGGCGCCGUAAGUCAGGUGUGAAAACUCGAGGCUCAACCUCGAGAGGUCAUCGGAAACCGUACGGCUAGAGUCCGGAAGAGGAGAGUGGAAUUCCUGGUGUAGCGGUGAAAUGCGCAGAUAUCAGGAAGAACACCCAUGGCGAAGGCAGCUCUCUGGGACGGUACUGACGCUGAGACGCGAAAGCGUGGGGAGCGAACA
rnacentral:rRNA from 1 species